rnacentral:rRNA from 1 species
AGUGAACGCUGGCGGUAGGCCUAACACAUGCAAGUCGAACGGCAGCACAGUAAGAGCUUGCCCUUACGGGUGGCGAGUGGCGGACGGGUGAGGAAUACAUCGGAAUCUACUUUUUCGUGGGGGAUAACGUAGGGAAACUUACGCUAAUACCGCAUACGACCUACGGGUGAAAGCAGGGGAUCUUCGGACCUUGCGCGAUUGAAUGAGCCGAUGUCGGAUUAGCUAGUUGGCGGGGUAAAGGCCCACCAAGGCGACGAUCCGUAGCUGGUCUGAGAGGAUGAUCAGCCACACUGGAACUGAGACACGGUCCAGACUCCUACGGGAGGCAGCAGUGGGGAAUAUUGGACAAAGGGCGCAAGCCUGAUCCAGCCAUACCGCGUGGGUGAAGAAGGCCUUCGGGUUGUAAAGCCCUUUUGUUGGGAAAGAAAAGCAGCAGGUUAAUACCCCGCUGUUCCGACGGUACCCAAAGAAUAAGCACCGGCUAACUUCGUG